UUAUGUAUGUGUUUAUGUAUGUGUGUUCAAAUCGUCUUUGGGUCAUUUUAUGUCAAUAUCCGUAUCAUUUGUGGACACGUGUCCUUCAUCGUUCGUCGGAUUUGUUGAUGUUUAUAUCAGCGACAUUAAUUUUACACCGCCUCUCCUAUCAAAUGUCCUUUCUAUUCUCUGUUCGCACCCCCACAACUACCGCUCGCUUUCUUUCCCAUGUCUGUUCAUCGGCUGCAGUCGGGUGUUUCUCACACACUCUCUCUCUCUCAUAUCGUGAAUUCCGACGACGCACCAGUGAUACCCACUACUUCCCCAUUUAUUGACCAUAAGUUGAGACGUGCAUCGAUUUUUGAGGGAUGGAACCGCCGACAAUACAAUGCUACGUCUCUCUUCUACAUAACUCUUUCUUGAUCGAGUUGUUCCGACAGCACAUAUGUUCCCGCUCCACCACACCACCGACUUCAUAUUUGUUUUUUGAUUCCAUAUGUUUCGUUUGUUCACCACCUUCCUGAUGAAUUUGUACAUCUGAACCGUUGAUAGAAUGCAGUUGAUCAUCUGAUGAUAACAACCAUACGCAUGGGGACGGGAUUGUUAGGGAGUGAUGCAGAGGGUUAAAGAUCAGCAACUUUCAACAUCUACAAAACCAGCAUCCAUUGUAAUUGCACGCCAGGUCUUUGUUAAAAUGCCCAAGUUAGUUAUUAUUUUCAUUAUAUGUCCCAACCAAAAGAUAUGCUUAACUGUGUACAAAGAACUUCAUUUCACCACUUCAAGAUUGGAUUCGCUUUUAUUGUAAGCUCUUGGAUCCAACCAGCCUUACACAUAUUAUCCCUGUUACCAAGUUCCUUGGAUUCUUAGCUACUGGAACUACAGCUGAUGCGAAGACAUUGGUUCAACAGGCAAGAAAUGAAGCAGUUGAGAAGCAUCAUCACUGAAUAUUGUAUUUCCCGGAGGAUCAACCAUGUUUAAAGAUUUCCAUCGAAGGUUACAAAGGGAGAUAAAAAAGAUUGUGGGUGCACGUGUUCAUGCAUCAGAAGCAAAAUUUAGUAAUGAAGUGAAAGCUUGCCAUACAAAAGCGGAAUAUGAUGGGGCAAGCAUAUGCAUAAUAAAUCCUGUUUUCAAGGUAUAUGUAGAUGUGCAUCUGGUUCUUUUUUAGAAGUAUAGAUUUUUGUGUAGGUACUUAUACUUGAAUAAAUUGGUUAUAGUGAGUGGAGCUUCAUCUACUUCUCUGCGCCUCAUAAUCGAUCAUGUAACUUUUUUAUAAAUUCAUUUUUGGAUCUUUUUUUUAUUCAUUUGCAAAUAAUAAGGGCUAGAUUAAUAUAUACAUAUUUUUAGUAUAUAUUUGCUCUGGCUUUUAUUGGAUUUUUUUAUCAAUAUUGGUGACAUUAGAGGGGAGCCAUUUCAAUUUUUGCCAAAAGUUAAUCGGUGUUUUCGUGGAUCGUUCUCUUCUGUCCUCUCUUGCUUCAUAAAAACAUAUAUUCCUCUCGAUCAAAGCUUGGAAUAAAAAGAAUCAUGAUUCAUGAAAACAAAUGGAAAUGGGACAUCAACAUUAUACGCAAACACAAGGAUUCCAUCAUCUCAGUAAACAAAGUGCAGGUUCCACACACAGUUCCGAUCAAAUCGUGGAAUAAAAAGAUUCUCGAUUAAAGAUACUAACAUCAAAUGGGUUGUUAUGUAUACUUUGUAUUAUUAUUUUAAUGGUAGCUUUAUUGUUUUUUAAUGAGCAAUCGGUUGCAAAACGUUCCAAUAGGGUAGUCUCAUGUUUUUUCUUUGUAAUUUUCCAUUUAAUGAAUGAUUGUUUGUUAUCUGAAGGUCUUAAUAUGUAAAAAUGUGAAACUACAGAGGGCGACAAUAGAGGAAAUGGAAGGCAUGGAUGUUCUUUGCAGUGAUAAAACAAGAACUUUGACACUGAAUAAACUGUUGACCAAUAUUUAAUAGAGGAGCGGAUGUUGGCUUAUAUGGUGGUGUUCAUGGCUGCAAGAGCACCUGCAGUUGAAAAUCAAGAUGUAAUAUGCAAUAGAUUCUAUAUUACGAAUGUUGGCUGACCCAAAGAAGAGGGAAGGGCAUAAAAGACCAAAAAAGUACACAACCUGAAUCCAUGUUCUUUGUUGUGUAAUCUGCAAGAAAGUUAGGUUAGAAGCAGCAACAAAAAUUUUGUUAAUGAUGCAAACAUAGGAUCUGAUAAGGUAAUCAUAUGAAUUUUAAUAAAAUUAGAAAAAAUGAUGUUCGAAUCUUUUUACUCACUAGAACUUUAACUUUAUUUUUGUUCGACAUUAAUGUGAAGCAUCAAGUGAUUGGUGCCAAAAUUGCAUAAGCAUUCUAUACUUUACAAACGGAUACCAAAUCUUUGGUUUCAAUUGGUUUGUCACGAGGUAUACAUGGUAACAGGUAUGUUAUAUAUGAUUGAUUAUUGAAUUUUAGAGGGGAUAUCCACCUAUUUCUACUUAAUAUGGUAGGAUAUGGCUUUUAAUUAGACGUGGAUGUCAUCAAAUAAGUUGUUGGUAAGAAACUAAGAACCUGAUCAAUGGUCAUUUAAAUUCCCAUACUUAUACCUAGUUACCUUCAUCUUAAUCUUUUUAUGGUUGGAUGUGUUUUUUUUUAAUUCUAGGUGAUUGUUUGUAUGAUGUGCAAGAGGUAGGUUUUCUCAAAGCUACUUGAACAAAAAUACACAUGCCAAGUUAUACAACGAUACAUAUUUUCUCAUUUUCAUACAUUAUGUUUUAAUUUCUCAAAAUGUAUGUCGUCUGUAAUUUUUUCUAUACUUUCUUACCAUCUUCAAUUAAACACACAAAUUUUUCCCUAAUUCGACAAUUCUAAAAUUUCACAUGCUUCCGGAUCUACUGUUGAUUCCUUUCAUUCUCUUUUUUUUAGGUAUUUGGAAAGGCUGGUGGAAGUGGAUUUACAAAUUUUGACAACAAAACUUGAUGAGGUUGCUUGCAGCUCUUGACGAGACAAUGAACUGAGUAAAGAAAUCAAAAUAUAUAUCUAAAGAGGAAAACAUGUCAUGGUUCCUUGGCAAGAAAUGGAAUCGAAUUUAACUCAUAUUAUAAACAUUAUUGGUCUGUUGGACUCAGUGAUGGUGUCUUUUGGUUCAUAAACGUAACUCAAAUUGAUAUUAUCAUGUUUCCAUUCUAUUCAAUUGUUACUUUCAUUUAUGUUAAAGAAUUAUCUUUGGUGAUGAAUUACUUUUUUUAACUAAAAUGAUGCUUUUGUGUAUUUAGGCUUUCACUCUUCACAUAUGGAUAAACUUUAAACAGCAAUAGAAAGAUAUAUUGAUCACUUUACAACA